AAGUAGAAAUCAUCAAACCUUGGAGGCGACAGAUGGAGACGACAGACUGGUGUGAAACCCGCUGCUGGUUUCGUGUGUAUGAUGAUAAACAAAAUGAUGCUAAUCAAACCUUUUGACGAAGCUUUCAUGUUCCAUAUCUACUCGUCCUGCUCCCCAACAGGCGUCCAAUGGGAACCACUGUCCUUCCAGAAGCACAGAGUUCCACAGGUGAUCAGAUUUCACAUUCUCCAGGCUCUGGCCCUGAAGGUACCCGAUGCCCUUACUGUGGCCCGGCACUUCUUGGCACACAAUGCCCACCUCUCUGUAAACACAAGCCAAACACAGCAAGCCUUUUGUGUUGCAUCCCGUGUCCUGAAGCUCAAGGUCAAGGUCAAGGUCUUAAAUCAAAUUAAUUCCUUGCACAUUCUGGAAAUGUCUAUGUUGAACUCAGAAGGCGCCAAGGAUGCCGAACGCAGCACAAUACUAAGUGACUGCACGUGUCUGUUUGGUUUUAGUGAGCCACAUGAAGGUAAGAGAUGAAACACUAGUCUUUACAAACGAACAGCUGUUAUCUGUGGCUACAGUCUCAGACGUGUGAGGCCAUCCUCAGUGUCUAACUUAUUGUUGUGUUCACCUGCACAUCUCCAAACAGAGGCUGGAGUAGCCGCAGCAAACACCCCGACCGGCCGCUAUCACCUCCUCCGGGGAGCUCAGCUUCUCUGAGCGGCCAAGUCUGUGCGUUGGGGAAACCCUGCUGUUUAUGAGACAUGAGACGUUCCUAUGGAAACACGGGGCCAGCACACAUGAUCAGCGUAAUGUCCAUAUAUCAAACGAACUCAUUACCCGGGUACUGGAGAUCAGUUUUAUGCAGAGACUAUUUUCUUUCAUCUGAAGUACACCUGCCAGCCGUAAGGAAGCGUGCAUCUACUCAUGUUCCAACAUGAAACCGCUCACAACAAGGUUGAUUAUCUGGAGUAACUUUCUGGAAAGACACAUUUAUUCUUUGAGCACCACGAUCCAAAGAUGUAGAUGAAUAAACAGCACUACAUGUAAAUAAUAUGAUUGUGUUGUUCUGCGUAGCUUCACAGGUUAAAGAUUCUGAAGUGAUCGUCGUGGCAGAUCUGCACAAAGAAAUGUUAGCACUUCCAAUAGUAUGUUUACAGCAGGAUGUGAUGUGUAAGCGUUGUCACCUCGGCUCCGGCCCUGAUGGCGUGUGAAUCGACCCUGUGGAAGACCUCAGAGUUGGUGAAGAGGUCCUUUCGACGCCUCCUCUUCCCCGCCGCCACAGGGCGUGGUGACGCCCUCUGUCCCAGGUGUGCUUUCGGUUUCAGGUGCCUGUUGUACUCCGCCUCUGUCCUCACUGCGCUCUUCUUCACCACGGUGAUGGUCCUGGCCGCGCUCUCGGACGACAGCUGUCUCUUCGCCGCAGGACGCUGAUCUUCACUUUCAACUGUCAGAUUCUGGAACACGCUCUGCCUGCAGACCAGAGCACUCUGGGAGGCUCCAGCACAGACCAGGACCUGGACAGGUGCCUUGUCUCCCACAGGAGCAGCUUUUGGACUCUCCUUGUGCACCAGAGCUCCUAUAACAGCAACAGAGCCUGCUUCACUUAAGAUUCGAUUCCCCUGGAGGUUAAGAAGCUCCAGGGCCUUCACCUGCACGCUUCCCUUCUGGGUCACCUCAUCUUGCUGAGAAAGCCGUGCAGCACAGGAGAAGGGGAAGGAGAACUUCUGAAUUGCAACGUUAGCCGACAUUAUGCUGGAAGCAUGGCGUCCUAACCAAAAGAAGCAGGCUGGCACAGUGACCGUCACCCCGAUGACCUGGGUUGGCAAGUAUCUGCCCGGCUCAAGUGUCCUUCAGCGAGCCUCUAGGUCCUAUCAGGUCUGUGCACACUAUGCUGCAGCUGACCCAGACCUCUGACCAUCCUAGAGUGCCACCAAAGUGGAGGUGCCAAAGGAUAUCAUAAGGCAUCACCUCUC